CGCAUCUGUGCAUGCAGCAUAUCAAUAAGCGGAGGAAAAGAAACUAACAAGGAUUCCCUAGUAACGGCGAGUGAAGCGGGAAGAGCUCAAAUUUGAAAUCCUAAAGGGUUUCCCUUUACGAAUUGUAGUUUAAAGAAGUGUUUUCUGUUGAGGUUUUGGUAAAAGUUCUUUGGAAUAGGACAUCAUAGAGGGUGAGAAUCCCGUAUUUGACCUUUACUUUCAACUUUGUGAUACACUUUCAAAGAGUCAGAUUGUUUGGGAAUGCAGUCCAAAAUGGGUGGUAAAUUUCAUCUAAAGCUAAAUAUUGGCGAGAGACCGAUAGCGAACAAGUACCGUGAGGGAAAGAUGAAAGAACUUUGAAAAGAGAGUUAAACAGUACGUGAAAUUGUCAAAAGGGAAGCGUUUGACACCAGUGUUGUUUUUCUGAAAAUCAAUUAAAGGAACUGUUUAUGCUAAGUUGUUUAGACUUUAUCAGCUAAUCUGCUUAGUUUUGAGCUUUUCUUUAAUGCACUUUUCAGUUAACAAGUCAACAUCAAUUUCUUUUGCUGUAAAAAAGCUUGAGGAAGGUGGCUUGAGAUUCGUCUUAAGUGUUUAUAGCCUCUUGCCUAUGCAGUCGGAGAGAUUGAGGUCUGCAGCGUAGAUCCUUCGGGGCUAAAUGCAUUUGUGCUAAGUUAUAGCAUUUUAUAGACAACUUGUUGACUAUGAUUUGUCUUGUAGCUUACUCGCUUAUGUUAUUUUACCUACGCUUAGGAUGUUGAAUCUGUGCGAGACUAC
rnacentral:rRNA from 1 species